rnacentral:sRNA from 3 species
UGGAAGAUUCGAACCUGCCGCAGGUUCGGGUCGAACGCAGUGAGACAACGGAGCCGUUUACGGCGACGGCCCGAAGGGCGAGCGAAGCGAGUCAUCCUGCACGACCCACCA